CGGGAAUUUUGGGCAAUGGGCGAAAGCCUGACCCAGCAACGCCGCGUGAGGGAUGAAGUAUUUCGGUAUGUAAACCUCGAAAGAAUGGGAAGAAUAAAUGACGGUACCAUUUAUAAGCUCCGGCUAACUACGUGCCAGCAGCCGCGGUAAUACGUAGGGAGCAAGCGUUGUUCGGAUUUACUGGGCGUAAAGGGCGCGUAGGCGGCGCGGGAAGUCACUUGUGAAAUCUCUGAGCUUAACUCAGAACGGCCAAGUGAUACUGCUGUGCUAGAGUGCGGAAGAGGCAACCGGAAUGCUUGGUGUAGCGGUGAAAGGCGUAGAUAUCAAGAGGAACACCUGAGGCGAAGGCGGGUUGCUGGGCCGACACUGACGCUGAUGCGCGA
rnacentral:rRNA from 1 species